AGAUCAGAAGGUGAUUGUGGCUUUUAGUAGAUAGAAAGCAGCCACAGCACUGCCUGGUCAGA
rnacentral:pre_miRNA from 1 species